CCAUGCUUUAAUUGUAGCUUACUUAAACAUACCAUUUCACCAGAAAUGGCCCAAGGCGUUUAACACAUGGUAUUUACCAGAGAAAAAGCAACCAAUUUUCUCUGUAUACACAAUCAUUCUAAGCUUCUAGAACAUUUAUUUAGGUAGUAAAGUGCUGACCGUUUUGAGAAUUGAAUUUUUGUUUAAAUAUGAGGUUUUGCUAGUAAAUCCAUCAAGGAAAUGCUAGCAUUUAGUAGUCUUGGACAGUCAAGGCGACAUGAGCAACACCAAUGUUGUCUGAUUACUAUUUUUCCGAUUUAACCAAAAAAAAAACCUCCAUGCAGGUUUUGCUUUGAAGAUUUAAGCUGGACCUGGCAGCAACUAGCAUCAAAGAAUUGGGUCUUGUAUCUUGCAGAUGAAGUCAAAGCAGCCAACUGUUCCAACGGAAAUUUGAAGUAAUUGAAAACAGGAUGAUAUCUAUUAGUUAUUUAUACCACACUUAUGGAAACCGGCAGCAAGAAACUGUUGUUUAAGCUCUAUGAAUAGAGAACUUCCAGUUGCUGUUUUUCUGAAGUUUCUAAUUAGUUACAAGGAUGACAUAUUUUGGGUGUUAUGUCAAAUAAUGGCACCACUAUUUGAUGCUGCUAAUAGGGAAUUUUAAAGUAAAACCAAAACUAACCAUGGCUUUGUGUUUAAGAUCAGGACUUUGGCAAAGCAUACCGCUUGUUUAUCUGGCUGAGCUUUGGCUACUUGAAAAUUGAUAGAGCGCUUGAAAGAUGAGGUGAAAGAGUAUUGGUGUGUCAGCAUGGAGAAGUUCUUUGUAGUUCCUACCAAGUUCGCCAUGAAGAAAUUGCAAGGUUAUUUGAACAGAUGGGUCAUUUUUAAGUGGAUUGGAAGUCAUGACUUUCAUAAUUGGCCCUCGGGAUCCCUGGACACCACUGAACUUUUUAUGGCUGUGGCUUCCAGCCAACCACACCGGAUAUAUGCGUAUUAUAGACGCGUUUGAUACUGUAACCUCGCAAAUGAUGUCCAGUGUCAGCACUAAUCAACAUUCGAGAAUUUAUUAUUAUGUCGGGGUCACCGUCUCACUUCCUCAGUGGAAUGCUCUCCGCCUGACGAAAUAUUGAUCCAGCAUUCGUCACUGCACACUAAUGUCGGACGUUUCUGAGCCAUGAAUGUUGUUUUCUUCAUGAAGGAGAAGGGUCGGGGUGGAGUAGCGAGCACCUCUCAGUAUGUGGCCACGGUAUGAUAAUGCUUUGUUUUGCACUUUUGUUUGUUUAUUGCACGCGUUGGUUUUAAUCAUCUUUUAACUCUUCAUACUAGAAUUUGCACCAAUAGCAGUACCAGGGAAAGUCAUUAAUGCAGUCAUAAAAUAUUUAAAAUUUUCAUAAGAUCCACUAAACAGGCAUUACAGCAGAACCAGACCAAAUUGAAUAAAUGCAAUUAAUUAUCCGCCAAAUCUGAAUACUUUCCUAACACUGUUCGAUAGGUAAUAAAUUAAAUUAAAAAAACAUAUUUUAUUUUUAUCAGAUUAGAAUAUAUUUUUGGCCAUCACAUUGGAAGAUUUUUUUCACAGCUGAAUUAUAAAAUAUGGUUAUGUUUACAGUUGACUGUAGGUUUUGCUUACAUACUUCUGUAUUUGCGUAAUUCAAAUUAGGUUACAUGUUGACAAAAUUUAAAUUUAUUAAAGAAAUUUUAAGGUUCAGUUAUAUGGCCACUUGUGAUGAGUAUGUAAUAAGAAAAUAGUAAUAUGAGACAUAUGCUUAUUCUGCUGCUUUAAUAAUAUAAAUACGCGCUCUAAUCGUAGGAUAAGACAGUCUUAAAGUCGCUUUGCAGUAGUAAUUAUUGUGUUACUUGUGUUUUAUUUUUAAAUGCGAAAUCCGUUGGAAGUAGUGUACCGGAUCGCCCUUGCGAAUCGAUAGUGAUUUGUGCGCUGGAUUACCCUUUUAUUGUCAGUGCCUUGGAUCGACGGUACGACACGCUUCCGUUUCAAUGGUUAAAGAAAGGAUUACAGACCUACAUGGCAGAGCACUUGGGACUCCUGGUACCAUAGACUAUCGGUACGCCGUUCGAGAGCCAGCAGGACGAAUUGUUGUAACCCAGCGUCCACUACAACCAAUACCUCACUUGGGAAGUGAAUCUCACCGACGAACGUGUUGGUUGAUACAGAAACGAAACUAUGAACCUAUUUCGAAGACAAUCAUGCAAUUUCCACCACCCGUUCAGAUACUUUUCAUGACUACCAAUAGUCUUUCGUCCGUUUGAAGAGCGCAGAGAAGUUGUUUAGAUUGGUCAUCCAAGAAUGAAGAAAAAAAAAGAUUGUCUUUAUAAACCUAGGUCCGCAAAUGCUUAGUUUCCAAAAUACGGGGUGUUAAAUGUUAAAAAAAUCAUCUCUUUUACAAUUUUUAAAAUAUUUUUGACCGGUUUUAGCAACAUUAUUUAUAAUGGUAAAAAGCCAAGUUUGCUUCGAUUAGAUUGAAUUUGUGGAGUCCAGUGCCGUCCGUUAGGUGUGCUAAUUGUAUUGUCAACUGUACUCUAUCUACAUUUUUACAAUUUUUCUUAUAUACUUCGAAUAAACCGCUAAACGUGUCAACUUUUCUGACUCGAGUUGUUUGCGUAUCAUGCGUCGUUUUCAAUCGAAAAAAUAAUAAUCACGAAAAUUGACAAAACAUUUCAGUAAGUGUCCUAAAAAAUUAAUACUGAAGAAAAUGAUGAAAAAUGAGAACCAUCAGUUUAAUGGCUGGCAUGUAGGCAAACAUAAAAAUCUUAGGUAUUAACGGAGCUUAAGUCGUUAAAAUAGCUUUAAAUAGGUUUGCUUGAUUGUGGUAGACAAUGAUUUAGUAGCAAUCCUGAGAUUGUCGAAUUUAUUCUUUUGUUUCGGUCAGAUGCCUCACCACCCCUUACCAAGUGCAAACGUGUUAAGCGUUAGUCAGCCAAAAGCGGACCAUUCUUUCACCUGCUCCGAAUCUAUAUCAGCAGAUUUGAUUCCAAACAUAUCCACAGGUGAGUAUAAAUAUUGUUAAAUAAUUCAAUAAAAAUCAAUAUCCAACAAACUGUUUUGUAUUUACUACUCCUUUGGUUACCACCAUAUCUUCAAUAAAAAUCGAUAUUAUUUCGCUUCAGUUAUUUGGCUAUUUACUCAU